GAUGAACGCUAGCUACAGGCUUAACACAUGCAAGUCGAGGGGUAGCAGGGUAGCAAUACCGCUGACGACCGGCGCACGGGUGAGUAACACGUAUCCAACCUUCCCAUAACUCUGGGAUAGCCUUUCGAAAGAAAGAUUAAUACCGGAUGGUACUUUUUCAAGGCAUCUUGAGAAAGUUAAAGAUUUAUUGGUUAUGGAUGGGGAUGCGUUCCAUUAGAUAGUUGGUGAGGUAACGGCUCACCAAGUCUUCGAUGGAUAGGGGUUCUGAGAGGAAGGUCCCCCACAUUGGUACUGAGACACGGACCAAACUCCUACGGGAGGCAGCAGUGAGGAAUAUUGGUCAAUGGGCGAGAGCCUGAACCAGCCAAGUAGCGUGAAGGAUGAAGGUCCUAUGGAUUGUAAACUUCUUUUAUAGUAGAAUAAAGUGAUCCACGUGUGGAUUUUUGUAUGUAUACUAUGAAUAAGGAUCGGCUAACUCCGUGCCAGCCGCCGCAGUAAAAC
rnacentral:rRNA from 1 species